rnacentral:pre_miRNA from 7 species
UUUCGGGGUUCCUGGGUGUCACGCAGAUCUCGGUGGGACCUCCAAAUGAAAGAACCUAGUAGGGAAACCCCCACUCAAUUCUCGAUUUGGCUCGCACGCAGGAAUCACGAACAGACAA